CUACAGAGGGUGCGAGCGUUAAUCGGAAUUACUGGGCGUAAAGCGCGCGUAGGCGGCUUAUUAAGUCAGAUGUGAAAUCCCAGGGCUCAACCUUGGAACUGCAUCUGAUACUGGUAAGCUAGAGUUUAGGAGAGGGAAGUAGAAUUUCAGGUGUAGCGGUGAUAUGCAUAGAGAUCUGAAGGAAUACCAGUGGCGAAGGCGACUUCCUGGCCUAAAACUGACGCUGAGGUGCGAAAGCGUGGGUAGCAAACGGGAUUAGAUACCCUAGUAGUCC
rnacentral:rRNA from 1 species